CUCUGAUGCCCUUCUCGUGACUCUUGUCAAUACACAGAGUGCACUGUUAACAUCUAAAGACUCAAACAAGGAUCCAGUUAUCAUCCAACAAGCUCAUAUUGGUGUGUUUGUUAAUAGAGUAACACCAGAAAGUUUGCAGAAAACGCCUAUAAAUAUUCCCAACUGCUCCAGUCCCGCAUUUUCUCUCCCAGUGCUCCCCCCUGAUAUACUUCCUUCAGAUGAACCAGUGGAUAUACGUAUGCUGAAUUUAGAUAAAAACCCAUUUUCCUGGAAUGAGAGAGGGAACAUAAGUGGCCAAAUCGGUGCUCUAUCUCUCACAGCAAAAGAUGGCUCCAACAUC